CGAACAUUUAAACAUUAAGAAUUGCGCACCACUAUUCUGUUUGUAAAACACACUAACAGAAGGUGUUGUAUCAUGGCAAAGAGCUCAAGGCAAUUGGAUGGAAUGACCAUAGUCUUAUUUGGGUCACUUGGAAGCGGUAAAAGCUCUACUGGAAACAAUAUCAUAGGAUCAAAACCGUUCAAAAUUGGAAUUGGGACAAUACCCAUUACAACAAAAGUUGAAACAGAGACCGCAUAUCGAGAAAAGUUGGCCAUUCGUGUAAUCGACACACCCGGUCUUCAGAAAUCGUCGGACUUUUCAAAAUUAAGAGAUGAAAUUAAGCGAAUCCUUAGAGACCAUCAGAUAGGGAACGUUACAUAUGCUUUGGUAAUUCAAGUAGGAAGAUAUACAACAGAGGAAAGACAAGUAAUUGAAGAUAUUUUCAAGAAAAAUAAAUUAUUCCUGAAGAAUACCAUUAUUAUUUUCACCAAUAGAGAAGAGCUAUACGACGAGGACAAUCCAGCUGAUCGAACAAUCGAUGGUUGGCUUAAAAAGAAUCCAAGUUUGUUGGCACUAAUGCAGACCUAUAAACUGAAAUACCGAGCAUUUCAAAAUAAAAGACUGCUGGAAGAAGAGAAUGAUCUACAAGUCCGCGAUCUGAUUUCUGCUAUUUGCGAAGAGGAUCAGCCAGCUUCAUAUUGCCCUGUAAGUGACAGUAAGAAAAAGAAACAGAAUUUAAUAUAUGUGUCAAAAGAACAAAUGGGGGAAAAGUUUGGGACGUAUGGCACUGAAUUCUUUGAAGACCAAUUGACAAUACAAAAGAAUGUUGAUGACUACGAAAUGCUGUGAGUGGUGUAGUUUAAUGUAGCAAAUAUGAUGAUGGACAACUUCUGAAAGAAUAUAAAGUAUAUUUAUGCAUAUCUAACCAGCUGUGAAUAUUCGAAGUUAAUACUUUAAAUUUGGAGUAACAAUCAAACAAUUACAUGCAUAUUUUUUUUUUACUGUUGAAUACGUAUUGAUAACUUGAAAACUGUACUGAGACAUAAACUACAUUUUUACAUUCAAACAUUGAAAUUAAUCACCAGAAAAAGAAUUAAAAAAUGUUCACUCUUGAUACUGAUCAAAAGCUGAACAUGUGUAAAUAAAAAUAUUUGACAACAUAAUAUUUUUUAUUUGUAGAGGAGAAAAAUAAAAAAAAAUCUAAUACA